rnacentral:rRNA from 1 species
UGGGGAAUAUUGGACAAUGGGCGAAAGCCUGAUCCAGCCAUGCCGCGUGUGUGAAGAAGGUCUUCGGAUUGUAAAGCACUUUAAGUUGGGAGGAAGGGCAGUAAGCGAAUACCUUGCUGUUUUGACGUUACCGACAGAAUAAGCACCGGCUAACUCUGUGCCAGCAGCCGCGGUAAUACAGAGGGUGCAAGCGUUAAUCGGAAUUACUUGGCGUAAAGCGCGCGUAGGUGGUUCGUUAAGUUGAAUGUGAAAGCCCCGGGCUCAACCUGGGAACUGCAUCCAAAACUGGCGAGCUAGAGUAGGGCAGAGGGUGGUGGAAUUUCCUGUGUAGCGGUGAAAUGCGUAGGUAUAGGAAGGAACACCAGUGGCGAAGGCGACCACCUGGGCUCAUACUGACACUGAGGUGCGAAAGCGUGGGGAGCAAACAGG